AGUGCAGAUGGAGAUGCUAUUUUUGUUUUUGUUUUUCCCUCCUCUUCUGGAUUUGGUACCAAAGGAAAAGUCGUCAUGUGCCAGUCUACUGCCCUUAUGUGAUGGAAAGCGAGCGAGAGCGAUGAGACCAUGAGCUUGGUUGAUGCCACACAAAAGCCGUCUAUCUGGCAGCAGAAGAGCCAUCACUGUCAGUGAGAUAAGUAUCUGUUUUGGUGAGGGCUCUGCUCAUGGCCCACGUUGAUGCUGGUAGGGAUGCCCCGUUAGCUAGGGCUGGGUUUGUAAGAAAAGGUUCCUGACUAGCUGUGGUUGUAAGAGAGACAAGGUUCCCAAUUUCAGGGGCUGAUGAUUCCUUUGGUCAGGAGCAGUGUGUCCUAAGCAGCAGAAGGUAGCAUCUAGAGGAUGACUCCAGGUGUCGAGUUAUUUGCCUUCCUCCCACGUUUCUCUGUCUUCUCUAUUGUGUUGGCCAACACUCUCGCUCUUUCAUUCUCCCUUCCUUGCCUUUCCUGGUGCCGUCUCCCUACGUAGGAUGCGGGAAAAGGGUGCUAGGUGUGCAUCCACACAGUCUGUCUUUGGGACCCAUGAAGACUUAGGAGGGUAUGAAAAUCAUGCAUAUUAGUGGGUGCCACAGUGGAGCAAUGUCUGUCGGUGUUGACUUGGUCUUUAAUCAUCGCCUGGGGCUGAUGUAGACCAAAUGAGAGAGGGAGGCAGAGAUUACGGCAAGAUUUCACAUACCUUCAGAGCUUUGUGUAAUGCUGACUCACCCUUGGCUUUUGCAACUGCACUGCAGAGGAAUUGUCCAGGAGCGCUGUCUGGAGGAGAGACUCUCAAAAGUGGACCUGUACAUCCUUCUAAGCAGACGUGAACAGUCCUCAGCUUUCUGCCUCCUGCAUAACUGGCUUACCAAGGGAAAAGAAGUCACGUAUCAGUCUACUGUCCUCAUGCGAAGGAAAGCGAGACCGACGAGACCGCGAUCAUUGUCGAAAUCAGGCAUUAGCUGUACAUCUGGGAGCGGAGCAGUCACCGCUGUCAGUGAGAUAAAUGUCUGGUUUGGUGAGGGAUCUGCUCAUGGCCCACCUGGCUCCAGUUUGCAGAGGAAUCAUCCAGGAGCCCUUGCCGACGAGAAUAUGCAGAAGUGGACGUGAGCAGCCUGGAAAUCCUUCUAAGGAGACCUCAACAGUCCUCAGGUUUUUGCCUUCUGCCUAACUGGCUGUGAUAGCAAGAGAAAAGAAGUCACAGGCCAGAGUCUACUGCCCUCGUGCAAUGGAAAGAGAGCAAGAGCGAUGAGUCUGCAAGUGGUGUUGAUGCGACGCAGAAGGCGUCCAUCUGGGAGCGGAACCGCCACCACUCUCAAUGAGAUAAGUGUCUUCUUUGGUGAUCGCUCUGCUCAAAGCCCAUCUUGCUCCUGGUAGGGACACCCCGUUAGCUGGGGCUGGGUUUGUAAGAAAAGGUUCCUGACUAGUUGUGGUUACAAGGGAGACGAUGUCCCCAUUUUCAGGGGCUGCUCAUGUCUCUGGCCAGGACCAGUGUGUCCUCCGCAGCAUAUUAGAUCCAGGGGGAUGACUCCAGCUGGUGAGUUUCUUGACUCCCUCCAACGUUUUUCUCUCUCUCUCUCUCUCUCCCCUCUAAUGUGUUGGCCAACACACACUCUGUCUGUCUGUCUUUCACUCUCUCUCUGUCCUUGCCUCCUCUUGUGCUGUCUUCCAUCAUAGGACACGGGCAGGUGUGUUAGGUGUGCAUCCCCACAGGCUAGGUCUUGUGAGCUAUGAACAAGUAGGGGACCGAAAUGAUGCAGGGCAGUGGACGCUAGAGUGAAGCGGUGACUGUGGGUGUUGACUGAGUCUCUGCUCUAGUAGGGCUGAUGUGGGAGGCAGGGAUGAGGGCAAGAUUUCACACACCAAUUGAAUUUUUUGUAGUGAGGGCUCUUGGUUGGCUUAUUUGCUGCACUUGUAGAGGAAUUAUCCAGGAGCAGCAGCCGGAGGGGAAAUUGGCAGAUGUGGGCCUGAGGAGCCUGGACAUUCUUCUAAGGAGACAUAAACAGUCCUCGGCUUUCUGCCUCGUGCAUAACUGGCUGUGGGUUUGGUGUGUCUGACCAGAGUCAUCUGUGCAGAGUGACUAUUUCAGGUGUCGUCGCAAGGGUACCAAGGGAAAAGAAGUGACAAGUCAGAGUCUGCUGCCCUCAUGCGAUGGAAAGCGAGCGAGAGUGAUGGGACUGCGAGAAUUAUUGAUGCCUUGAAAAAGCCGUCCAACGGGGAAUGGAACAGUCAUCACUGUCAAUGAGAUAAGUGUCUGUUUUGGUGAUUGCUCUGCUCACAGCCCACCUUGCUCCUGAAAGGGAUGCCCCGUUUGCUGAGGCUGUUUGUAAGAAAAGGUUCCUGACUAGCUGUGGUUUUGAGAGAGAGAAGAUCCCCAUUUUUAGGGGCUGCUCAGUUUUCUGGCCAGGAGCAGUGUGUCCUACGCAGCAGAAGGUUGCAUCUAGGAGAAUGGGUCCAGGUGGUGAAUUGCUUGCCUUUCUCUCGUGUUUCUCUCUCUCUUCUCUAGUGUGUUGGCCAACACUCUUUCUCAAUCUGUCCUUGCCUUUCCUUGUGCUGUCUCCCUUCUUAGGAUAUCGGCAGGCGAGCUAGAUGUGCACCCCCACAGGUUGUGUCUUGGGAGCCAUAAAGAAGUAGGAGGGGACAAAAAUCAUGCAGGGCAGUCGGUGCGAGACUGGAGCGGUGACUGUUGGUGUUGUGGGGCUAAGACAGAUUGAAAGCGACGCAGGGAAGAGGGCCUUAAUUGGGGUCUAUGUAGUGCAGGAGUUCUCAAACUGGGGUUUAGGUCCCGUCAGGGGGCUGCAAGGUUGUUAUUUGGGGGGUUGUGAAAUGUCAUCCUCCAUCCUAAACAUCACUUUGCUUCCAGCAUUUAUAAUGGUGUUGAAUAUACAAAAAGUGUUUUUAAUUUAUAAGGGAAGGGUCACACUCAGAAGCUUUCUAUGUAAAAGGGAUCAUCAGUACAAAAGGUUGAGAACCACUGGUGUAGUGAUAGUUCUUGCUUGCCUUUAUUAGUUUGCAGAGGAAUUGUCCAGGAGUCUCAGCUGGAGAAGAAGCUGGCAGAAGUGGACCUGAACUGCUUGGACAUCCUUCUAAGGAGACAUGAACAGUCCUCAGCUUUCUGCAUUCUGGAUAACUGGCUAUGAGUAAGAAUUUGCAGAGGAAUCGUCCAGGAGCCCCAGCCAGAUGAGAAUGUCAGGAGUGGACCUGAGCAGCCUGGACAUCCUUCUAAGGAAACAAGAAUAGUCCUCAGGUUUCUGCAUAACUGGCUUACCAAGCAAAAAGAAGUCACAUGUCAAAGUCUACUGCCCUUAUGUGACGAGUGACGAGACUGCGAGCGUUGUUGGUGCCAGGCAGGAGCCGUCCAUCUGGGAGCAGAACAGCUGCUACUAUCACUGAGAUAAGUAUCUGUUUUGCUGAGGGUUCUGCUCACGGCCCACCUGGCUACAGGUAGAGACACCCCGUUAGGUGGGGCUGGGUUUGUAAGAAAAGGUUCCUGACUAGCUGUGGUUUUGAGGGAGACACGGUCCCCAUUUUCAGGGGCUGAUGAUUUCUCUGGCCAGGAUCGGUGUGUCCUCGGCAGGAGAAGGUUAGAUCCAGGAGGAUGACUCCAGGUGACAAGUUGCUUGCCUUCCUCCCGUGUUUCUCAUUUUCUCGCUCUCUGUCUCUCUAGUGUGUUGGCCAACGCUCUCUCUUAAUCUGUCCUUUCCUUUCCUUGUGCCAUUUCCCUUCUUAGGACACAGGCAGGCCUGCGAGGUGUGCAUCUCCACAGGUUAGGUCUUGAAAGCCCUGGAGUAGUAGGAGGGGACGAAAACCAUGCGGGGUAGUGGGUGCGAGAGUGCAGCAGUGACUGUCAGUGUUGAAUCGGUCUCUGUUCAAGUGGGGCUGAUGUAGAUGGGGUGGAAGAGGGAGGCAGGAUUGAGGGCAACGUUUCAAGUACCAUUAGAGCUGUGUGUAGAGAUGGCGCAUGCUUGGCUUUUGCAGGUGCACUUCCAGAGGAAUUGUCCAGGAGCUCAAGCCGGAGGAGAAACUGGUAGAGGUGGAUCUGAGCAGCUUGGACAUCGUUCUAACCAGACAGGAACAGUCCUCAGGUUUCUGCCUUAUGAACAACUGGCUGUGAGUAAGAGUACCAAGGAAAAAUAAGUCACAUGUCAGAGUCUACUGCCCUCAUGCAAUGGAAAGUGAGUGAGAGCAGCGAGCCUGUGAGCAUUGUUCAUGCCAGGCAAGAGCCGUUCAUUUGGGAGCCAAGCAGAUGCCACUGUCAGUGAGAUAAGUGUCUGUUUUGCUGAGGGUUCUGUUAACAGCCCAUCUGACUCCAGUGUGUCCUCCGCAGGAGAAGGUUGGAUCCAGGAGGAUGACUCCAGAUGGUGAGUUACUUGCCUUUCUCCUGUGUUUCUGUCUCUCUCUCUCUUUCUCUAGUGUGUUGGCCAACACUCUCUUUCUCUCUCUGUCUCUGUCCUUGCCUCUCCUUGUGCCAUCUCCCUUCACAGAAGAGGGGCAGGAGUGCUAGGUGUGCAUCCCCACAGGCUUGGUCUUGGGAGCUAUGAACAAGUAAGAGGGGAUGAAAAUCAUGCAGGAUAGUGGGCGCUAGAGUGGAGCAGUGUCUGUGGAUGUUGACUCAGUCUCUGUUCAUUGAGUCCGGGGGAUGGAGAUGGAAUGGGAGAGGGAGGCUGGGAUGAGGACAUUCAUAGAG